rnacentral:rRNA from 1 species
UCCGGUUGAUCCUGGCGGAGGUUACUGCUAUCGAGGUUCGACUAAGCCAUGCGAGUCGAAUGUAGCAAUACAUGGUGUACUGCUCAGUAACGCGUGGACAACCUACCCUUAGGUCGGGGAUAAACCCGGGAAACUGGGUAUAAUACCCGAUAGUCCUCGGAUGCUGGAAUGCACCGAGGUCUAAAGCUCCGGCGCCUAAGGAUGGGUCUGCGGCCUAUCAGGUGGUAGUGGGUGUAGCGUACCUACUAGCCUACGACGGGUACGGGUUGUGAGAGCAAGAGCCUGGAGAUGGAUUCUGAGACACGAAUCCAGGCCCUACGGGGUGCAGCAGGCGCGAAAACUUUACAAUGCUGGAAACAGCGAUAAGGGGACCUUGAGUGCCAGGUUACAAAUCUGGCUGUCGUGGUGCCUAAAAAGCAUUGCAUAGCAAGGGCCGGGCAAGACCGGUGCCAGCCGCCGCGGUAACACCGGCGGCUCGAGCGGUAACCGCUGUUAUUGGGUCUAAAGGGUCUGUAGCCGGCCGGAUAAGUCUUUUGGGAAAUCUGGCAGCUUAACUGUCAGGCUUUCAGAGGAUACUGUCUGGCUCGAGGCCGGGAGAGGUGAGAGGUACUUCAGGGGUAGGGGUGAAAUCUUGUAAUCCUUGAAGGACCACCAGUGGCGAAGGCGUCUCACCAGAACGGACCUGACGGCAAGGGAC